AAGACCUUGCACUUUUGGAGCGGCCGAUGUCUGAUUAGCUAGUUGGUGGGGUAAUGGCCUACCAAAGCUUCGAUCAGUAGCUGGUCUGAGAGGACGGCCAGCCACACUGGGACUGAGACACGGCCCAGACUCCUACGGGAGGCAGCAGUGGGGAAUUUUGGACAAUGGGCGCAAGCCUGAUCCAGCCAUGCCGCGUGAGUGAAGAAGGCCUUCGGGUUGUAAAGCUCUUUCAGCCGGGAAGAAAAGGUUGCGACUAAUAAUCGCAAUUCAUGACGGUACCGAAAGAAGAAGCACCGGCUAACUACGUGCCAGCAGCCGCGGUAAUACGUAGGGUGCGAGCGUUAAUCGGAAUUACUAGGCGUAAAGGGUGCGCAGGCGGUUUUGUAAGUCAGAUGUGAAAUCCCCGGGCUUAACCUGGGAACU
rnacentral:rRNA from 1 species